UACGACUACAUAUCAGGCAUAUCAAUAAGCGGAGGAAAAGAAACUAACAAGGAUUCCCCUAGUAACGGCGAGUGAAGCGGGAAGAGCUCAAAUUUGAAAUCUUAAAGGGUUUCCCUUUACGAAUUGUAGUUUAAAGAAGUGUUUUCUGUUGGAGUUUCGGUAAAAGUUCUUUGGAAUAGGACAUCAUAGAGGGUGAGAAUCCCGUAUUUGACCGUUACUUUCCAGCUGUGUGAUACACUUUCAAAGAGUCGGAUUGUUUGGGAAUGCAGUCCAAGAUGGGUGGUAAAUUUCAUCUAAAGCUAAAUAUUGGCGAGAGACCGAUAGCGAACAAGUACCGUGAGGGAAAGAUGAAAAGAACUUUGAAAAGAGAGUUAAACAGUACGUGAAAUUGUCAAAAGGGAAGCGUUUGACACCAGUGUUGUUUAGUUGAAAAUCAAUUCAAUAGUUUUUGAUCUAAGUAGUAUUGACUUCAUCAGCUUGCUGCUUUCUUCUCAGAAAUUAUUGAAUGCACUUUUCAGUUAACAAGUCAACAUCAAUUUCUUUUGUUGUAAAAGGGUAAGAGGAAGGUGGCUUGCGCUUCGGCUCAAGUGUUUAUAGCCUUUUAUCUCUGCAAUCGGAGAGAUUGAGGUCUGCAGCGUAGAUCCUUCGGGGUUAGAUACAUUGGUGCUAAGCUAUAGCCUUGUAUAGACAACUUGUUGACUAUGCUCAGUCAUGUAGCUUACUCGCUGAUGCUAUUUUACCUACGCUUAGGAUGUUGAGUAGCGACAUACGCAC
rnacentral:rRNA from 1 species